rnacentral:tRNA from 1 species
GGAGAGAUGGCAGAGUGGUCGAUCGCGACGGUCUUGAAAACCGCUGUACUGAAAGGUACCGGGGGUUCGAAUCCCUCUCUCUCC